CGUUCUAAAGAGGCGGGGUCCUGGGCGGGCUUCCUGACUGGCCAGCGGCGGAUGGAGGACAGGCCAAUCAGAAGCCGCCCCUGCGCAUCGAGAAAUGCUGGACAAGCAGCCGAAAUCCUCAAAUUCUACCCCAGCGGAUGGCCCAGAAGGGUAAAAAGAAUUAAUAGAGACACCUGCAGGCAAUCGCUUCUGGAAGCAAGGAGUCCUUUGUUCCCCCAGUUCAGCCCUGGCGUUGCCUGAGAACACUGACAGUAAGCACACAAGCUGUCAUGUCACUAUUCGUGAGGUCUACAUGUCUGCUUGGAUUUGGAUUCAGUAUUUUUCAUCUUAGUCCCUGAGUUUCAGUCACUGUAUUGUAUUCACCCAGUCCAGGUGAUAGGCAAUCCUGUGGUAAACUGUGUAUCCAAACAGGAAUCUUCAAUAGUUAAAAAUCUCAAACCCAAUAAUAAUGAUGGUACUACAAGAUGACUUAAGCAACAGAUUCUAGUAACUUUGAUUGCAGAAAAUCAGAUUCCUUCCAAAUAGAAAUACUUCCUGCCUGUGCCCGUCACAGUCCCAUGGCCACCAUGGCUGUUGGCAUAAAAGGUGGGUCAUCUUCAACAGCCAUUCGUAUCCUUCACAAAUAACUCACAGAUACAGAUUUCAGAAAGCUGUCAAACAGGAUCGAAGCUAAUUCAGCAUGCUAUCAGCCUUAGCAUCUGACGGCAGUCUUGGUACUCCAAAUGGAUUAGUCUUGCAGUCAGUCCAUAGAUCACCUACCCUAUUUCUACCUUGUAACUCUGUAGGUUAUGGAUAUCCCAGGAAAGAUGCAGCAUAGCCCUGGAGGUCAUGGGAGAGGAGCUGCAGUGUGUAAGGAGACUGAACUUGGACCCUUUGUGAAACCAAACAAGCAAUAUUUUUUCUGGUUCAUUGUGAGCCGUUCAAUAGUCAGGAAUUGCUGUCUUUUUGAAAGAAUUGAUGAAAAAAGGGAGUCACUAAGCAAGUGUGUUUCUCUGAGGGAAUUGUGUUCAGUGGGGCUGUCCCGGCUCUCUGAAGGACAGGCUGCUGUGAACAGGUAGGUGUCAUGCAAUGCAAUAUACAAUGCAAGCUGUGUGCACGUUACAGUUUGCCCUUGGAGUCCGCAACUCACUGUGACCCCUAGCUUGGAUUUCACAUUAAGUGAUCUCUGCUUGUAAAUACUAAUGAUGCUGCUAUGCUCUCACUAGCUUGGUGCCUAACAGUACAUUGGUUAAUGCUGUUGACUGGGUCUGGGGCAGAGGUGAUUUACUUAUCUUUGUGGAAAAGGGAGGAACAAUCAUAAAGAUCAAGCUGAUCACUUAUUGUGCCUUAUAUUGUGCCUUAUGUUUUAUAAAACCAUGGAUAAGUAAUAUGAAAUAUUUGGAUCUCCAGAAAGGAAAGGUCUUUUCAGUCUGCAUGAUUCACGUGUGGGUUACCAUAUGCCUGAAGCUAGAGAAGACUGUUCAUCUGUUAUCAGACUGUUUUCCAUAUGGUGUUCUUUACAGUUGUAUCAGAAAUGUCAAGAGCUGCUUAGUCAGCUGGGCCCAAAGCCUGAAGAUUUCCAUUUGUGCCUUUUGUCCUUUCAUUGUUUUACAAUCAGAUGUGGAAGUCUGCCCCUGAAGAGGAUAAACAUGUUCUGAGAUAUCGUCAUAUUUUGAGAAUACAAGGACCUAAAUAAGAUUCAGUCUCACUGGAUCCUCCUUAGAAGUUAUUGUUGUUUGCAAGAGUGGUCACAAGACACUUUUUUGAUUUCUCCUGAGCUGUGUCCAAGAGGACAAAGUUCAGCCCCCUUUGUAGGAUUUUGUAUCUUCCAUCUGCUUUCUGAGGUGGAUGUAAUAAAGACAAGAACAUGACAAUUACCUGCUUCAGCACACACAAAAAAAAGUCAUUAAUUUUUUUUGCUCUUCUGCCUCAUCUCCUUUUAUGGAUAAUAUCAAACAGUUUGUUUUUAUUUUUCUUGAACUGUCUCAGUAAUAAACUGUAAAUGUGUACUUUCCAGUACUUUCUUUUGAGAAGCCCCUAGUAAACCAAAACAUAUUUCAGAAUGCAAAGAAGGGAUAACGUUUCACUGCAGGAUAGGAGGAAAACCCUUGGUCUGAACUAAUUCAAAUUAGUGAAGGAAGGAGUUUCCUUUGAAAGGGGGAUCUCAGGCAGGACGGUAGAAGCAGGUUAGCUGGAGAAGUCAAAAAAUUCAGGAGAGCAGCAGGACAAAGUGUGUUUUUCUAGGCAUAUGAUGACUCUGAAGACUCAUGCUCUAUACCCCUGUCCUGGUUUCAGCUAGGAUAGAGUUGUCUUCCUAGUAGCUGGUACAGUGCUGUGGUUUGGGUUCAGUAUGCGAAGAAUGUUGA